UACGUAGGGGGCAAGCGUUGUCCGGAUUUAUUGGGCGGAAAGAGCGUGUAGGCGGUUCGGUAGGUCCGUUGUGAAAACUCGAGGCUCAACCUCGAGACGCCGAUGGAAACCCCCGAACUAGAGUCCGGAAGAGGAGAAUGGAAUUCCUGGUGUAGCGGUGAAAUGCGCAGAUAUCAGGAAGAACACCCGUGGCUAAGGCGGUUCUCUAGUACGGUACUGACGCUGAGACGCGAAAGCGUGGGGAGCGAACAGG
rnacentral:rRNA from 1 species